AUUGAACGCUGGCGGCGGGCCUAAUACAUGCAAGUCGAGCGGAACGGCGGAAGGGUGGGUGAUGCCUAGGAAUCUGCCUGGUGUUGGGGGAUACCUUACGGAAACGGGCCCUAUUACCGCAUACUAUCAGAUGAGCCUAGGUCGGUUUAGCUAGUUGGUGGGGCAAAGGCCUACCAAGGCGACGAUCCAGAACUGGUCUGAGAGGCUGAUCAGUCCCACUGGAACUGAGACACGGUCCAGACUCCUACGGGAGGCAGCAGUGGGGAAUAUUGGACAAUGGGCGAAAGCCUGAGCCAGCCAUGCCGCGUGUGUGAAGAAGGUUUUCGGAUUGUAAAGCACUUUAAGUUGGGAGGCGUUACCAACAGAAUAAGCACCGGCUAACUUCGUGCCAGCAGCCGCGGUAAUUC
rnacentral:rRNA from 1 species